CGCGGGCCCGGUGCACGUGACUGCGGCGCGGAGGAGAAGGUGGUGGCGGUGGGAGUGUGGGGAUUCCCGGCAGCAUGAGUUGUUGCGGGCUCUUGCGAAGGGCUGUGGCAUCGCGUUCCUGCAGCGCUCUGGUGGCCUCUGCCGUGAGCCCGCGCCGGCUGAGCACCAGUCGGACGAGCCGAGCUUUCGCCAAGGAGCUCUUCCUGGGCAAAAUCGAGAAGAAAGAAGUUUUCCCAUUUCCAGAAGUUAGCCAAGAUGAACUUAAUGAAAUCAAUCAAUUUGUGGGACCCGUAGAAAAAUUCUUUACUGAAGAGGUGGACUCUCGAAAAAUUGAUCAGGAGGGAAAAAUCCCAAAGGAAACAUUAGAGAAACUGAAGAGGCUGGGACUUUUUGGGAUGCAAGUCCCAGAAGAAUAUGGUGGCCUGGGCCUCUCCAACACCAUGUAUGCGCGGCUAGGGGAAAUCGUCAGCCUGGACGGGUCAAUCGCUGUGACCUUGGCAGCACACCAGGCUAUCGGCCUCAAGGGGCUCAUCUUGGCCGGCACUGAGGAGCAGAAGGCCAAGUACCUACCCAAACUGGCAUCUGGAGAGCACAUUGCCGCCUUCUGCCUGACCGAGCCAGCCAGUGGGAGUGACGCCGCCUCCAUCCAGACCAGGGCUGUGUUAAGUGAGGAUAAGAAGUACUACCUCCUCAGCGGCUCCAAGGUCUGGAUCACCAAUGGAGGACUGGCCCAUAUUUUUACUGUGUUUGCUAAGACCACGGUUGUUGAUUCUGACAGCUCAGUAAAAGACAAAAUCACAGCAUUCAUAGUAGAGAGAGACUUUGGUGGAGUCACCAAUGGGAAGCCUGAGGAUAAGUUAGGCAUCUGCGGGUCCAACACUUGUGAAGUCCAUUUUGAAAACACCAGGGUGCCAGUUGAAAAUGUUCUUGGAGAAGUCGGAGGUGGGUUUAAGGUAGCUAUGAAUGUCCUCAACAGCGGGCGCUUCAGCAUGGGCAGCGCUGUGGCCGGGAUGCUCAAGAAACUGAUCGAAAUGACUGCUGAAUAUGCCUGCACGAGGAAACAGUUCAACAGGAACCUCAGUGAAUUUGGAUUAAUUCAGGAAAAGUUUGCCCUAAUGGCUCAGAAAGCUUAUGUAAUGGAAAGUAUGGCCUACCUCACUGCGGGGAUGCUGGAUCAGCCAGGGUUUCCUGACUGCUCUAUCGAGGCUGCCAUGGUGAAGGUGUUCAGCUCAGAAGGCGCCUGGCAGUGCGUGAGUGAGGCUUUGCAGAUCCUGGGGGGCACAGGCUACAUGAAGGGGUACCCGUACGAGCGCAUGCUGCGUGACAGCCGUAUCCUGCUCAUCUUUGAGGGGACCAACGAGAUCCUGCGGAUGUACAUCGCCCUUACAGGCCUACAGCAUGCCGGCCACAUCCUAACUGCCAGGAUCAAUGAGCUUAAACGAGGCAACGUGACCACUGUCCUCGAGACCAUUGGCCGGAGGCUUCGGGACUCGCUGGGCCGAACCGUGGACCUGGGGUUGACGGGGAAGCUCGGAGCGGUGCACCCCAGUGUUGCGGACAGUGCGAGAAAGCUCGAGGAGAACGUUUAUUACUUCGGCCGCACUGUGGAGACAUUGCUGCUCCGCUUUGGCAAGACCAUCGUGGAGGAGCAGAUGGUCUUGAAGCGGGUGGCCAAUAUCCUCAUCAACCUGUACGGCAUGACGGCUGUGCUGUCUCGGGCCAGCCGCUCCAUGCGAAUAGGGCUCCGGAACCAUGACCAUGAGUUCUUUGCAGCUCAGAGGUCAGAGCUCCGGGAGGGGCUGCCCGUGGCCCAGUGGUCCCAGGGUUCUGUCCGACUUGACUCUGCAGGUUCUGUUGGCUAACAUCUUCUGCGCUGAGGCUUAUUCCCAGAAUCUCUUCACCCUGUCUCAGCUGGACAAGUAUUCUCCAGAAAAUCUAGAUGAACAGAUCAAGAAAGUGUCCCAGCAGGUCCUAGAGAGGCGAGCGUACAUCUGUGCCCACCCUCUGGACCAGACAUCCUGAAGCACAGAGACGGAGGUCCCUGCUGCCGCCAGCCCCUGGGCCACAAUCCCUUGCUAGAUGACUCGCACUCUUUUCCCAGAAGGUGUAGAACUUGGAGUUACUCCAACUUGAACCAUUUCUUCCCAGUCUUCACCUGAAGGUCUUUCUCCCGGCUGAGGAGGCUCUUCUAGGCUUUGACCUGUGGACAUUACUGCGUAACGUGACCCCAUGUUCUGAACGGGGACAGAGAGAGAAUGGAAUUGCUGCGACCUGCGAUUUGAGGACAGGCUGCUGGUUAGCAGACUUCACCGUGGACACUGGGGCCUGUGCUACCACCCCAUGGCCUGGGGCUGUGCAGCCUGGUUCAGGCAGGGACAGCCAUUUCUACUGGGCCACACAUUCUCCAAAAAACAGUUUGAAAGCUGCACACAUGUUCAUUCAGACUAGGAGCAAAAUGCACUUAGAACAUGUACCAGGAACCACUGAAAAAAGAACAUUAAAUGUCACAGUUUGUGUUUACCCUUC